GACGAACGUUGGCGGCGUGCCUAAUACAUGCAAGUCAACUGAAAUACCGGUAGCAAUACUGGUAUGGAGGUGGCGCACGGGUGAGUAACACGUAGGUAAUCUGCCUUCAGGUCUGACAUAACCCAUCGAAAGGUGAGCUAAUAUCAGAUGAUGCAGCGGCUUGACAUCAAGACAGUUGUUAAAGCUUCGGCGCCUGAAGAUGAGCCUGCGCUGAUUAGCUAGUUGGCGGGGUAACGGCCCACCAAGGCUGCGAUCAGUAGCUGGUCUGAGAGGAUGAUCAGUCACACUGGAACUGAGACACGGUCCAGACUCCUACGGGAGGCAGUAGUAAGGAAUAUUGCUCAAUGGCCGAAAAGGCUGAAGCAGCAACGCCGCGUGAGGGAUGAAGGGCCUUUGCUUGUAAACCUCUGUAGCGAGAGACAAAACUCCCAUUUUAUGGGACAUGAUGGUAUCU
rnacentral:rRNA from 1 species